rnacentral:rRNA from 1 species
CACGCAGGCGGUCUGUUAAGCUAGAAGUGAAAGCCCCGCGCUCAACGUGGGAAGGCCUUUUAGAACUGGCAGACUAGAGUUUUGGAGAGGGGAGUGGAAUUCCAGGUGUAGCGGUGAAAUGCGUAGAUAUCUGGAGGAACAUCAGUGGCGAAGGCGACUCUCUGGCCAAAGACUGACGCUCAUGUGCGAAAGUGUGGGUAGCGAACA